rnacentral:sRNA from 1 species
AAUAUAUAAUUAUAAUAUAUUUGUAACGCCUAUUGCGAUUUUAACCAUUCACUCAUUUGUAAUGUAACACAUAUCGUUUUUUUACCAUUCAUACAUUGUCCCGCACUGUCUGUUCCGCACUAACUGCACUCGUUCCGCAUACUGCGUUUUAAUCAACCGGCCCGCAGUAAAACCGCACCGCACUUCUAUAACCGCUUGUCUCGCACUCUCUAAAACGCAGUUACCAUUCGAAGCCUAACUGUUACUAAAUCAUCUCACAUACAACUCAACACUAAAAUCGUCUUCUUCUUAUCUCUACAUGCUAUUUUUUUAAUUUAUAUAUAUAUAUAAUGUUAUAUUCUUAAUUACAUUAUAAAAAUAGCUAGUUUUGCAAAUCACCAUUCAACAAAUUCAUAGGAUUAUUGAAUCAUUAUUCUUUGUUCAACUUUUUUGUUUUUGGUAAAUAAUAUUAUUGUGUCACUAUAGUUAGAAAUAGAAAGGGAAAUUUGCAGAUCUAACACACAAAAAAAUUAUAAUUAAGAAAGUAGCAUCAAAACAAAAAAGAGAUGAUAUUCUUUAUAUUUUGUGUAUUAAUCACAAUUUUGCCCCCUUCCUCUUUCUUUCUCUUUCCCUCUCUCUCUCUUCCCUCUCUCUCUCUUUCUCUCUCUCCCUCCCUUCCUCUCUCUUUCUCUCUUUCUCUCCCCCUCUCUCCCUCUCUCUCUUUCUCUCUCUCCCUUUCUCUCUCUCUUUAUCUCUCUCUCUUAAUGUCUCUUACUUCUAUUUUUUUCUAUAUGUACUUUCUAUUCUAUUCUAACAAAAAAAAAUAGUACACAUAAUAAAAUUCAUAAUACAAUUAUCACCUAUAUUAUUACACCAUUACCUCUACUACCAAGUCACCAUUAUCCUUAUCAGUGGCUCACUGCUAUAACCGUAUUGUCGUCACUACAAUCGUAUUGCCGUCACUACAACAGUUAACUUGCUUGAUUGGGUUCCCAAUAUUGUAUCUCUUAGGGUAUAGUUUUUUAAUGGGGAUCAUAUCGCUUUAACUCAGUAAUUUAAAUCGUCUAUGUUUUAUCUUUUACGAUUAUCGUAGCUAAUAUUGCAACCUAAACUACUAUCCCACCACCACUACCACCACUAUUACUUUAUUUAAUUUAAAAUAUUUUGUUUUAUACUAAAACUAAAACUGAAUUACGAAUGAUUUAUGAAAAUAGUAUAGUACAACAUUCUAUUUCUAUACAUCAUAAAUAGUACAAUAUAAAUUUACUUACAAACAUUUUUUACUA